AUUGAACGCUGGCGGCAGGCCUAACACAUGCAAGUCGAACGAGUGGCGGACGGGUGAGUAAUGUCUGGGAAACUGCCUGAUGGAGGGGGAUAACUCCUGGAAACGGUAGCUAAUACCGCAUACCAUCAGAUGUGCCCAGAUGGAUUUAGCUUGUUGGUGUGGUAACGGCUCACCAAGGCGACGAUCCCUAGCUGGUCUGAGAGGGUGACCAGCCACACUGGGACUGAGACACGGUCCAGACUCCUACGGGAGGCAGCAGUGGGGAAUAUUGCACAAUGGACGCAAGCCUGAUGCAGCCAUGCCGCGUGUGUGAAGAAGGUCUUCGGAUUGUAAAGCUCUUUAAGUUGAGAGGCGGUACCAACAGAAUAAGCACCGGCUAACUUCGUGCCAGCAGCCGCGGUAAUAC
rnacentral:rRNA from 1 species